rnacentral:rRNA from 1 species
UCUCCCUACGGGACGCAGCAGUAGGGAAUCUUCCACAAUGGGCGAAAGCCUGAUGGAGCAACGCCGCGUGGGUGAAGAAGGUCUUCGGAUCGUAAAACCCUGUUGUUAGAGAAGAAAGUGCGUGAGAGUAACUGUUCACGUUUCGACGGUAUCUAACCAGAAAGCCACGGCUAACUACGUGCCAGCAGCCGCGGUAAUACGUAGGUGGCAAGCGUUAUCCGGAUUUAUUGGGCGUAAAGGGAACGCAGGCGGUUGGGUAAGUUUGGAGUUAAAGG